AAGAUGUAGUAGUUCACCAUCUCUUGCUAUCUUGUGGGUGACGUCUGAGAAAAAAUCAGUGAAAUGCUAAAAUAGCAGCGACAGAAGUGCAGCGCGCUGUGCCUGCUGAGCAGCCGCCGCUGCAGCACAAAGGACAGAGGCGCAGGGCGGCCCUGCAGGAGGGACCGGGGUGCUCCAGGCCCCGGGCCGGCUCUGCGGGGUGCUGUGACAGCCUGCUGGCCUUUGGGUGGCCUUUGGGGGGACACUGCCUGCACACUGCGGUGUGCUGUGACAGCCUGCUAAAGGUGGCCUUUGGGGGGACACUGCCUGCGCACUGCGGUGUGACUGCCUGCUAAAGGUGGCCUUUGGGACACUGCCUCCACGCUGUGGUGUGACUGCCUGGUAAAGGUGGCCUUUGGGACACUGCAGGCAUGGCCGGGUCCUGCUUUACAUGAAAAUCCAGAGGCCAGAGCAGCCUAAUUGGUGUCAUUUUUCCACUCACACAGCCCCCUCCGGGAUGUUUGCAAGGCUCUUAUCAGGAAAUUGCAGCUGUGGCUCUGUACCUACCUCUGCUUUUGGGUGGGUUUUUUGACUUCUUGGAACUUUCUGUUUAUUAACUAGAUAAUCUGGAAAGGAGGAGGUAGGAAUGGAGCUGGUACAGAAAGAUACAGUGUUUAAGACCAGAGCCGAUAUUCCAGACCAAAACACAUUCUGGAAUUGGGUGACAGCUGUAUUGCUCCUUCUGGCAGGUGAAGUGCUGGCACAUGCCACCUGACCUCACCUGGGCCCCAGUCAGGGCAUUUGGCACCUCCCUGUCACUGGCCAGAGGGCAAAUCAGGGCCUAGACCUUGAAUCCAGAACCUCCUGCUGAAACAUUCACCUCCCGAUGCUCAGACUGGAACCAGAACUCUGGAUAUGUUUUCAUUUCAAGUAUGUUUGAAGAAAGGAUUUGUUUCCUUUUUUGUUUUAGACACACACAGAGUCUUAAAAGAAUAAAAUGGUGACAUUCUUGUACAAGUUAGAAUAAAUCCAUAAAAUAAGAUUUUAUAUGAAUUAUCAAAAUACUGAAGGUAGACUAUUUGAGUAUGAGCCCAGAUUAUAUCACAAAGUCCACAUUUGAUUCAGACUACAGUUUGGGAAUCUUGUGGGCUCACUCAGUUCUCAAUAUUGCCAACUGCAGUCAUGGGAUAAUUUUGUUAUGGAUUAGGUCAGCACUUCAAAAAGGACUAGCACAGAUUCCCUGGAUUUAUACAGGAAGAUCUUAUUCUUUCCUCUGAAUAAAAAUUAACCUGCUGCAAUCUUGUUUGGUAUUUACAUUGUUCUCACAGCUGAGAGCUCCAAAAGUCUCAGAUGGUAGUCACAGCAAGGCUGUUGAUUUUGUUUUUAAGGGAAUAUACAAAAUACAAUCUGUCAUUGGAAAAGUAAGGAAAAUUUUGAAGUGGCUUCUCCUUAAAAAAAGAACAACCCAAGCCCCAGUAGUCAACAAAACUAAUUCUGGUUAAGAAUUCCAGUUUUUCAGUAAAUUAUUUAUUGGGUAAUCUCACCCGUUAAGUCUAACUACUGAAUAAAUUCAUCAUCUCCAAACAUUUCAGCUUCUAUUUUAAUUUCUUAAGUAUAAAAUAGGUCAUAUCUUGAUGAAAGUAUUAUUAUAAAAUAUGUGGUUUCUUUUAAUGAUUUUUAUUCCCUUUCAUUGAUUCCUUGUGUUGCUAAAGUGUAUGUACACACUUUUUUUCCAGCUAUAGCUGAAAUUAUGUCAGACAUGGACUUCAUAACUGACAUUUGCACUUGUUGAUAAUACAAUGAUAAAGAUCUGCUUUAGUCAGAAUCUUGGCACUAAAUAUUUAAAUAUGGGAAUAAAAUUGUAUGCACUCAAAAGUUAAGGAAAAAUAAAAGCAUUUGCACAUAUUUAAUCAGCCAUAAAUAGCAACAAAUUAACAAAGUCUGAAGCAGUUUAAUAUAAUUGAGAAGUGCAGUAGUGACCAUUUAUUCCUGGAGCUUAUUUUUUAUGCACUUCUGCUUCCAUAACUAAGCAUUCAAUGAAAAGCUCCAUUGCAGGCUGUGAUGAAUCCUUCCUUCCCCUUUACUUCUGGCCACAUUCUGCUGCUUUAUUCUAUAUUUUAUAUAUUAUUCUACAUUCUAUAUUUAUUCUAUAGACUUAUUUACAGCAUGUGAGUAGUGGUUUCUCUCUUGCAGUUGCUACUCCCUUUGCUACAAUACUUCCCUUUCCCACCUCUUUCUCUAGCCCACUGUGGAAUGAGGUGGCUUUAUCCGAGCUUUCCUGAGCAGCCUCCUUGUGCCACAGCCCGGAGCUGCUGCCUGCGCUCGAAGCCUGGCUCUGGAGUCACCUCCCCACAGGUGACAGCACAGGAGCUGCACAGGGACCCCUCAGAAUGGGCUGGAACAGAACUGACAUUAUCUUAAUUUGAACUGUAAGACUGCAGGCUCCAGGGGAACCUGCCACCCAGCAGGAAUAAACUGUGCCUGGGAGAUCCCUGGCCAUCUCUCCCUUCAUGCGAGGAGCCACAGGGCAGGACUGCAUUCCCAAUGGACUGUGACUUCCUCAGAAGCCUCAGCAAGAGGUAUGGCCACACAAAGACCUUCUGAGUUGAGUGAGCAUAGAAUACCUGACAACCCACAACGUCUUCUUCAGGUAUAAUCAUAAUUUUAUUUUGAGACUGUAUAAAACCACGAUUUUAAUAUUUCGGUGCUUUUAAAUAAAUGUACUGAACAGAUCUAUGAAUUUCAUAAAUGGCCUGAUGUGUGUUUCCAAAAGCAGUGGCUCACUUACAGCAGUCAUUUGAGUUAGCUUGCAAAAUAUCUGUCAUAUUUUUAGAUACAAAAUGCUAAAUUCUUAUGUAAAAAACAAGUUAGUUGUACCAAAAAAAUUAAGCUCUCACUCUUAAGCCAAACCAGACCCCUCUUCAUAAUCCCAUGCAGUUAUCAGCAUGUCUCUUGGAUUUAUGACUUAUGACAUUUAUUUACCAACAGGUGGUUGCAUAUCUUGCCAUUUAUAUUUUAAGCAACAGUAAACACAACUAAAAAUAAUAUAAGACAAACAAAAUAAAACAAAACUCAGUGGUGUUUUUAAAGUGUUUUUAGAGAAAAGCUGUAUUUAUAAGCUAGGUCUUCAAGUAGUUCUCACCAGGCCCAGCAAUACAGAAGAACACUGCAAGAGCAAUAAGGAUUUUUAGGGGCAUUAUGAUAGUGUAAUGGAAACACAUCUGCCCCCAAAAGUCCCUCAUUUUCCCUGCGGUUAAAAGCCAUGCAGGAUGUGGUGAAUGCUGUGGAACAUCAAGAAUGAAACUAUAAAGAAAAGAUUUUUAAGUUAGAACAACUUUUCAACAAUACCUCAGGAUUUCAUCAUUUUCUGUUAGUCCACUGGAUAGUAAAACUGUAGUUUUUCAAGGAUCCUCUAAUUCAUUAGCUCUGGAUGUAGAAAAUGGUUCUAUCCAUGCAACAAAGUGAAUUUUGAGGCAGCUAUCUUAGAAAUACUAUUAUUGGGAAGCAAAAUACAUUUUGCAUGAAGCCCAGACAAUACAGGACAAUUUUUCUUCUUUCAGCUCUCCAAAAGAAAAAAAAAAAACCAAAACAAAACCCCAGGAUAACCAUAAUUAACUGUUGACCUGCAUUUCUCAUUUUUAAGGAUACUUCAGUGACAGAGUGAACAUUAGUUUACAGAAGAAAAUUAUACAUAAUAGAAUUAUAGAACAUCUUUUUAAACAAUUUUACUAUAUUUUCCAAUGAACAGUCUGGGCAGUUUUCUAUACAUACAGAAGGACCAGUCAGAGUGAAAAUACAGAGUGGAAUCCAAAUUUAGUAGGCUGAAUUAUCCAUGUUUAUAAUAUCAUUAGUAAAACAGGUAGCACAUUUGAACUUUAAGUUUUGCCCAUUCAAUUGCCAUGCCAAAUGAAAAUUUACUAUUUUAAAACAAUCCACACUGAGUAGCACCUAACAGGCAUGUUCUUCACAGAUUCUUUUAGUACAAAGCAUAAAAUAUAACAAUAAUAUUGUUAGAAAAAAAGCAAUUUUUCAGGUUAUUUAAUACUAUGUUCUGGGUAAUACAUUUGCCCUUUGAUCAUGUUAAAAUAUGAAAAAUUAAAUAAAUUAUUUUCUCAGGUUCCAGAAAUUUAAACAUGAUCUCACUUGCAUUUCUUAUGGAUGUAAAUCCAGUGAAUUCAGUGGAGAUACUUCUGACUUAGAGCAGCAUCCAGGCACCUACUGACAGAGGUGUGUGUGCUUUGUGUGAUUUGAAAUAGGCCUUUGAUUACAAAAAAAAGCUUUAAUACAAACAACAGCAGCAUCAAAGCAGAAAGCCAGAUUUUGCUGACCAUAAACCAGAAAUUUUUAACAGCAGCAAUGUGUAACAUCUAGAAAUGCCCUUUCAGUACAAUUACUGCAUUCACUUAAUUUUUCCUGAUGCAUGUGGGCCAGUCCUGAAACAUCCUGAAAUUAUUUUUCUCACCUUGUCCUACAACCUUGCCUUGCCAAUACAUGCCUUGUAGAUGACAAAACACAUUUUAUUUUUUUUUUGGGGGGGGGGGGGGGGGGGGGCAUUCUGUUUUAAUUCUUGUCCUGACCUGCAAAUGAAAAUCUUUACUUUAAAAAUUAGUAAUUUUUUUAAUAGUCUAGAUACUAUUUUAUAUGUAUUCAUAUAGAAAGGCCAUGAUUGCAGUAAAAGAUUUGGACUGUCUGACUGAAGCUGAGAUAUUUCAAAUAGCAAAAAUGCAUCAAUACUACUUUAUACUGUUGAAUUGUAGUCUCCCCAAAUAACAGCUAAAUUAAAAUUAACAGUAUUAACUGAAAAUAUCAAAAUAGUUUUAUUUAAAAGUUUUUCAUUUAUAUUAACAAUGUAAGUAUUCAGCAUACUAGGAAAUCACAUAGGACUCAAAUUUUUAAGACUUCUUUUGAGAUGAGCUAGGAGUAGGUAUGCUCCAAACAGGAAAAAAACCCAACAAAACCCUGGAGCCUAUGUGUAGAGAAGUAUGAUUCCAAUAUUUUAAAAAAGUGUUGGUAAUUCAAGAGCCUUGUAUCCAACAGGGAGUCAGAGAUCAGGGGUAACCUCCUGGAACCAACUGCUAACGUGUAGUCCUGUCAGCUACCUCACAAAGCCAGUUACCUUACUAAUGCAUGGGCCUUUAUUGCUGUUGAUAUUAUCUUUAUUUACUCUGUAGGUGUUGUAAGAAAGGUCCUGAAAAAAAUUCCCAAGCUGAAUAAAGCCUAUCCAUUCACACUGGAAUAGAGAAUCAAUGUCCUUGCCCCCAAACCUUGUAAACAGGAACUAUUUGGGCAUUUUGACAACAGGCAAAACCCCCUGGUUCUUUGUUUCUUUUUUCCAUGUUUAUACCUUUACCAAAUUCUCUACAUGUUUGCACUGUUUGACUGAGAAUAGCAUAUGGCAUUGCAGCAAGGGAUUAGUGUAGUUAUUAACUGAUGUGCACUGUGAAUUGGGCAAAUGAUGCUUUAAAUUCAUUGAUUCCACCAGAAGCUCAAGCCACGUGGUGUGAACCACUUUUCUACCAUGUCUUCCACUACAGGUGCAGCUUCCAGGUGACAGCAGUGGUUUUUCCCCAAAUCUUUUAAACCCACCUACAAAAAUCCACUUUGUUUUGUUUUUGCUACAUAGGCUUCUAAAUACAAUUUCCAGGGCAGGUAAAAUGAUCUUCUGAGUGAUGUCUUUAGAAAAUACGCCUGAACAGACUGGUUUGUGUUUGCAUAGACCUUUCUUGUGGCAGGAGGUCCAGGUUCUCCGCAGGGAAGCAGUGCUGGUGUGUAAGACUGCAGCAGGGAGCAAAGAACAAGGCACAGUUUAAAAACCACACCUUGAGGGUCUGUGUUCUUGCCCUGGAAAACUCUGGAUAACUUCCUAGGAAAGGACAACUGAUUCUGCAGCCUUUAGUAAGGCAAAAAUUUUAAUUGUUCCAGGUCAUGAGUUUCCAAACUUGGGGUCGUUAUCUCUCCGUCUCUUUUUCUGCGUCUGGAUCAGAGCGGAGUCACAAAACUUUUCUGUUGCAACACAGGAUCAGGAGGUGUCAAAGGUUGAGGCCUUGCUUCAGAAAACACAGGCCCCAGAGCAACCUCCAAACCAUGCCACAGGAUCUGGUGGAGAUCCUGAUCUUUUCACUGCUUUCAAUAAAAUUUCAAAAGUAAACAGAUUAGGUCAUUUAGUAAUCCUCUGCUGAUUCAGUGUGUUUGUGAGCUGGUUUUUUAAAGGUUUGCUUAAAAAUGUAGAAAAGUCAUUCUGAAAAUGUAGUUUUAAAUUUAUUCUAAAUAGAAAGAUAGCUAGUAGGACAUUCAAUUUCGUAAAUUAUAAAUGUAAUAAAUAAUUGGGGUUGAUAUUUCUAAAUAUUUUUAUUUCAAUAAUUAAUUACAUUUUUAUCUGAAGAAAAUUUAAAUUUUUAUUACAAACAGACCAUCUACUUUUUAUCUUCUGUAAAUUUCUUUUUUUCAUAUCAAAUAGCAAGAUAGAUUGAUCCCAGAUAUUGAAUUAUUAAUACUGUGGAUACACAGUGCACUUCAGGAGUCUCAGCUCUGAGGCCAGCACCCCAAGCUGCACGCAAACCUGCUGGGAAAACCAGUGUGAGGGAAAGAGAUCAAAUUUUUAUAACACAGAUGUUUAGAAAAUCUAUCAAUGUUUUGUCUAAUCAUCAUUAAUUUAAGUAAAACAUACAAAAUGAACAUACAUUUAAAGAUUAAAAUAUACACAUGAUAUCUAUAGCAGCAGAUAUAGAUGCUGCUGUUGGUUAUAUAUGUGCUGUUGGUUCUACUGCACACCAGAGACAAACAGGAGCUCUUUCUGUAAGCUUAUUGAUGGGAAAAAAAAUGUGAAUAAAAAUAUUGUAUGAGGGAGGCCUACGGAAGCGUAACUGUGGUCUUUAACACUGCUUAUUAAUCAUUUAAGUAGUGUAUUAAUUCUAUAGCUAGGUUAUUGGUGCUAGAAGCAAUGCAAGUGAAUUUUAUAUAUCCUCAGUAGAGAGCCAGAUAGAAUCUAUUUUAAAAAAUAAUCUAAAAAUAGAUGAUUAACAAAGUGUGAUCUUUACAUCUUACUGGAAGUAGCUGCACAAAAUUACGUUUUAAUUUAAGAGCUUUUAAGUAACAGUUGGUAAGAAGCAACUGUGGUAUUUCAGCAGAGCAGAGCUGAUCUUUGCUGAUGUUUGGAUAUGUUUCUCUUUUCCCUUAAAGCAAGAUCCUCACAUUGAUCCACUUUCUCAUCUCUAAUUCUCUGCUCUUACAUUCUCAGAAUACUAGAGAAGCAACCACAGGAAUUAAACCAAUCCAAAUCUGACAGCUAGGAAGAUUGGACAAGUCUGGAAUGUAUUCACAAACUAAGUACUAAUUUACUCUAGUAUAAGUCAAAAAUAAAAAAUUUCUACAGUUACAUUUUUAACUUAAUUGGCUUAUGAAAAAUUAAUCUUUCAUAAAUGCUGCUUCUGAACAGUAUUAUUGUAAUGGAAAAUAGUAACUAAAAAGCAUAUUAGCACCACAGUUAUUAUUUAAUCUAAGCUCCUCCAAAUCAGAUUUCAGUCUUAAACAAGUGAGGAAUUUGUUGCACUGAUGUUUGGAUACGUCCUAUUUCACUUUUGUUGCAAUUAUAUUGCUAAAAAAUGUAAAAUGUGAGAAUUCUAUAGAAAAAUCUUGAUAACUCAUCCUGAUAUUCAUUUGCAUAAAUGUACAGAUCCUGCAUGUAGUCAUCAGAUAAAUCACAUGCCAACAACUUUGCUUUCACAGUGUAUCACUGUCUCACUUCAGCUGAAUUUCCAGGCCUUUUUGAAAUAGUCAAAUUGAUUCAGUCUGUAUAGGUCAACUCUUAAAAUUAACCUGACUGCAGUGACAAUGUGAUCACAAUGUGAAUGUCUGGAUGUUUAUGUGUAGCUUAAGCAGGUGAUUGAUUAGCUGGCAUUAAAUGUCAAAACUAUGCCAGACACCUUUACACCAGCUGAGCUCCCGCAUAUAUGUUAUGUGAAUAUGCUGAAACAUUGUAAAAAUUACAAUUUGUAUCAUGUGUUCAUUUACUGUUAAAUAUCUGUGCAGUAUAGUUGGAACCACGAGAAAGUUCAGUACCUCUACCAGUGUUUUCAACACUUUCUAGAAUCCCAUGAGGAAAGUACAGCUGUGUAACUUUUAAGUAAAAAUAAUACUUCAGUUAUUCAGGAUAUUGAUACAAAAAUGUAAAUAGUAACAUGAACUUAAACAGGUUUACCCUGCCUUACUCACAAUAAUAAAUUCCACAACUUUUACCAGUACAAAAAUCAGCAGUCUUUAAAUUGAAUCACAGAUAAAGACCAUGCACAUGUGGACACACACAGACACACAGAAAGGAACGUUCAAGAGAUACGUUAUAAUGAAUAUGUUGUGAACAAAAAAAAAGAGGCGGGGAUUGACAAUACAAAUGCUACCAGGGUUUAAAAGAUUUUUUCAAGGUUUAAACUGCCUCUCUUUUCUGGGAACUGUCUUUUCUCCCAAUUCACCUGUAUUGCAUGACCACCCUUUGAAAGGUGACUUUUUCUUCAGCUUUUGCUGUUUUUUUAAGAGAAAAACACCACCAACAGUUAGAAAACUUCUCCGUUUAACUUUCAGAAUUAUUUUAUUUUCUAUCCACUUUUUUAUUGCUGAAGACAACAUUAAAGCUAGAACAUGAUUAUCUAUUUAAAGUGCAUAAUAGCCCUUUACUAAGUGCAGCAGAAGUUUACUACUAAGUUUACUGUCCAGUGUAAGAGCCAUAAUGUGCUGUUUUCUUUUGCAGAACAAAGUGACCACCAAAAGCGGGACUUUGUGGGCCAGUUGGAUAAAACAUAAGCUCAUCUCGCCCCCAAAACCCCGACUCUGGAACCACAGCCUUCCAAGAUUCAAUUUUGCUACAAAGACGUGCAGUCUGCGCCGGGAGUUGUGAGCCCCAGCCGUGAGCUCCUCAACUCCGCGGGGGCCGUGCCAGGAGACCCGGGGCGCACAGUCUUCUGCGAGGAGGUGUGUUUAUAUUCCCGACAACAAUGGUGCAGAAUAUGAGAAGAAGAUUUGUCAGGCAGAGAACAAAAUUGAUCGUGUGGACAUAGCGGUCAGUAAAAUUUCAAAUGCUGCAGCCUCUGGAGAGAGCUCUCUUCAAACAAGAAUUUGAAGGAGCUGGAGGAUCUCUUCAAACAAGACCCUGCAGAGGCUCCACUUGUUCCUCCCAGGAAUGACUGCAUGAUAAGAUUUCAGAAGGGCCGUCCUGCAGCCGCUGAAGCAUGGACAGGAAUGACCGAGGUGGAGGCAGGGCUGGCACGACAUUCACCAAAACCCUUUGCUGGAGCGGGAGGAGCCGCUGCCGCCGCUGCGAGACCCGUGGCUGGGUACCUGCGCCCGGGGGAGCGGGGACCCGCCCGGGGGCGUGGCUCUACUGUUGCUGGGCUGCGCUCCGGCGGCCGGAGCUCUGCGGAGCCGCCAUGCCCGCACGCUCCGUGCAGGGUCCCGGCUGCGGCCGCCGGGCCGGGGCUCCGCCUUCCCCUAAAAAGGAGGAGGAGAGCUCCCGCCAGCGCGGACACGCCAAGGCACGGACGGGGUUCGAACCCGUGAUCUUCGGUUUACGAGACCGACGCCUUACCACUUGGCCACCGCGCCUGCGUUAAGGGAGCUUCCUGACGCCCUUCUAUCGCUGGCGCCACUCCCGCCCGCCCGCCCACGGCCCGCCCUCGCGCGCGCCUGGGUUGCCACCUGCCGGGGGCGCGCGGCCCUCAGGCGCUGAGGGCGCGGCGGCGUCUGACGGGCCGGAACGGGAGGGAGGGAGGGACGGACCGGGACUGCCGCCGCUCCCGGUCUGUUCUGGCUCUCGCUCUCCCUGAGCGUCCCCUGAGCUGCCAGGAGCGUCCCCUCCGGCUAUGGAGGCGUUCCGAGGGCAGCGCCCUCUGCAGCGUCCGCCCCGGGGCUGUGAGGGUGCGGUACCCGGAGACGGCACUCGAGAGGCUGCUUCACAGCGGGCCAGCACGGCUUAGAGAGGGAGAAAAAAGCGGGAUUAAAAUUUUCCUCCUCCAAGAAGAGAAGCAGGAAUGCAAAACGUUUGGAUAACUAAAUGGUAAAUACUAAAUUAAACACAGUUGCUGCCUGGUAGCUGUUCCCUCAAAAAACUCAGUGUUGUGAAUUGCAGAAAAGAUACUAGAUACAUUCUAGACGGGAUCUCCUAGAUUUUUACAAAUGUGAUGUGAAAACAAAGGUUUUAGUUUUCAUUGAAUGCAUUGUGGAGGUCUGUUUAAAUUCUCCAUGAAACUGUUGCUUGAUAUCCAAGUUUUAUAUUCCUUUUGGUGUGGUUUUGGUUUCCUUGUGGAAGAAGCAUGUGAACAUAUUACAGAGGUGCCAUUGUUGAGAUCAGAGUACUGAUUCGGUAGUGCUGCAAUGCAGGUGUGUUACAAGGUUGAUACAGAACCAAAAUAACUUGGCUUGGAAGAGACCUUCAAAGGUCGUCUAGUUGAACCACCCUGCCGUGAGGAGGGAAAUACUUAUGUAUCCUUUUGGAAUGUUCUUUGAACUCUCAUCUUGGAAAGUCAUGCUUGAUGCCUUGAAUGUAUGAAAAUAUUUUAGUUCUUUAAAACUUAUAAUUUGUUUGUUUGUCUGUGAUUACUCUAUGCCUGCCUGUAUUUAAACAGAGUGAUUUUAAUUAGCUUGGCCUGCAGUGAAAAGUGUUUAAUUUAAAUUACCUUACUGGAUAAGUCAGCCCUUGUUAAGUGUGUUUGCUUCUGCCUUGGAUAAGCUGCCCUGAAAGUGACCUGGUUUCUAGUCCCUAUGGGCAUGACUGAUGGCCUGGCAAUCUGAAUGCUUGCUGGCAUUUAUCUGCUAGUCUUGUUCAUCACAUGCUCUCAUCUGGACUAUGGAAAGCUGGGAAAUGAGAAUAGCACUGUUGUAUUCUGCUUUUGUCUUGUCAGUGUAAUCACUGCAGCAUUUCAAAGUGUGAUGGUGUGUACGAGUGGAAGCUGCCUCCCUCAACUCUCACACCUGAAAUGUUUAUGAACAGGGUGACCUCAGAGAGCCACUUAUCUCCCCUGGCUGAAGGAGUUCCUCUUAGUAUUACCAAGCUGGCAGCAGAAAGGAGUUCAGUUUUAAUCGUUCAUGUUUGACUGAUGAUAUGCCAUUUCUGGCCUACUUGCUUAUUACAAAAUAUGCUCUUUUAUGUGCCAUACUUGCCAGUUGUAACUUGUCAUCACAGUUCCUGUGCAGCUCACAUCUGUGUUUAUUAAUGGUUUUGGAUCCUUGUGAGCUGAGAGGUAAUUUUGUGGUGAGUGCAAGGGCUGUUUGAAUUGUUGGUGGAAUUCAUGUGGGUUUUAUGUCUUCAAAUACAGUACAUUGUAAUAAAUGUAUUUGCUUGGCAUUGGGAAUAGUAUUUAAUGGUAAAUCAACUUCUAUUGAUCAGGUUCUUCCUUAACUGUAUGGGGAGACAGAAACUUCAAUUUGAAUUCAUAAAGAUCUUCUAACCAGAUUAAGAGGAAAUGCUUGAUAAGGUUUAAAAAAUUUGUCUACUGUGAGCCUAACUUCCUUAGUGUGUCUGGAGAAACUGUUUCUGUCUAAACGAAGUGUUGUUUAACGGUGAGCUGAUUUAUCGCAAUAGUUUUUAUAAUUAUAAAGUUAACGUGAUUUUAAAAAACUGUAAUUGCCUUUAGGUGUCUGGAUACUUUUGUUUGGAAGUGUCUUUUACGCUGGCCCUUACCCUUGUGUUAAAGCUGGGUGUUGAAGCCCUUCCUCCAUGCUGAAUCCUCCUUGUGCGUUACGGGCUGUUCUCUUCUGACACAAGCUUCUUUUGAACACAACGUGGCUUUGCAAAAAGGACGUCUUAGAGGACUCCAGUGCUGAAAAGACACUGUCAGUGAUUUUGUUGGAUGGAGAAAUAAUCACCAGUUGGUUUUUUUUCUUUCUUUCUUUCCUUAGCCUCACACAUAUGAGAUGGAGGAGUUGUUUUAGGAGAGGCUUUGGUGUCUGUUUCCAUGUGCAAAACAAGGCCUUUCAACACAUUCCCUGACUCUUCUGAGAUACAUACAGGGGAACAAUUCGAUUUAUGUAGAUUUGGUGCAAUUGAGUUUUAUAAAGACUUGCUAUGGGAUGCUGAGGAGCUGGAAUGCUCCUCAGUUGCAGCUACUUGAGCUUUGGCUUUAUCUUAGCUGUAUGUAAGAUUGUUUCUGUUCACUAUUUUAGUUUCUAAUCCACAGCACUUGUGGGUUGAAAGGUUCAAGAAUGAUGCAGUAGAUGGCAGAAUGGCCCUGCAGUCCUUUUUCUGCACAGAAGACUGGAGACUCACAGAAAGAAGAAGAUCCUAUGCAAUGCCCUCAUAGUGCAACCUGAACAGUCUACACAGUUAACUUCAGGAAACUCUGGAAUUUAGUGUUCAUUUUCAGAUGUGUUGAAUUCUGGUUUGCAGUUUUACAGAAGAUGUCCACAGCAGCUCCCUGACUCCACUGCUGAACACUGCGUCCCAACUCUCUUCCUCCUCAGUUUUCUCUUGAGUCAAGAGUCCCCAGGUUUCCACAUUUCUUUGUCAUGGGAAAGAGGGGCAUUGUGUAUUUUUCUUUCCAAGAACUAUUCAUUCUAUUGGAAUUGCAUUUGUCUCCUAAAAGCCAACCAGUUCUUUUUGCAUAAUAACAAUCCAACUGUGUGCUGACUAUGCCUUCCUACUUUUGUUAGGUGACCUGUUCUUAUGUCAAGGUUGUUAACAGUAACAUGAAACCAGAAUGUCCCAGAUCAACUCCCACAGAGCACUGGUACCAGCUUCCUUUCAGCCCAGGACUUCCCUCUUUCUGUCUCAUUUCUGGUAAUCUCCAUCCUCAUUUUCCUAGUGUUUAAUAUUCCAGUAAUAAAUCCAGCCAGAUGACAUCAGUUGCACUUCCAUUGUUUAAGAAAGCAAUUAGAUCACCUAGUAUAAUGUUACUUUUAUAAAAGCCCCUUCUUUUUAUUCCUAUCAGUAAACAUCCUUUUUCUUCCAAAUUAAUUCCAAGACUUGCAUUAUAAUAAAGUCCAACAGGUACUUCUUUCUGUUUCAUUUCUUCCUGUAACUUUCCUGUAUUUUUCUGUGAGAUUGUACCACAAAGGACCUGAUACACAUUUUGCAACUCCAUGUCCUGGUUCUUUUGUAUUUCUAGGAUAGCAGUUCCCAAGGUGCAGUCUGCAUGAACAAAGCUCUCAGAUUUUUGCUUACAAUUAAUUUGUAAUGGAUUUCCAUUUUAUCUUCGUGUUUCAUUUAGACAUCCCACUGUGUUCCCAACCAUCAGCUGCCAAGAGGCAACUACAGCUGCCUUCCCAUAACCCAGCAAAACUGAAUAGUGGGUUUGAUCCCUCUGUCCUGCAGCCACACAGAGGAACAGAUUUACCAUGCCCUCCUAGCCACUGUGCACAUGCCUGUCCUGGGAUCCUGUCAGUUUAUGGUGGCAGGCUAAAGACACAAAUGUCUCUAUUUUUAUCUCUAGGUUUCAAAGUGUUUGCUCUGGAAAGGAUCUGAAAUCUUACACAGUGUCUGUUAUUUUCUGUACAUGCACAACAGAAAAAAAGAAAAAAAAAAGCACCACCAAAACCCCAAAUUACCUCUUUUCACAUUGUGUGAAAAUCAUGGUGUUAAACAUUUUCCUCUUGCCAGACAGUAAAUUUAUUUUCCUUACACUAGUCAUUAUCCUAACCUACACACAAAGCUUUUUACAGACUUCCCAAUUUUACCUGCAAGUGUUAGAUGAGGCAAUGAACCAUGCACAUGAUUUAUUUCUAAAUUCAAAAACUUAGAUUUAACAGGUCUUGACUUCUUCACUUGAUUACUUCAUAAACUAGUCAUUAUUCAAUUUUAACAGAUCCCUUUUCCAAAUAAUAUGAUUUCUGUACCUUUUCUGCUAGAUGCCAACAAGAAUCUAGCAGGUCAACAAGCUGCAGAGACUGUAUUAAGGAAACAGUCAUUCUUGUGCCAUCAAGCAAAAUUCUUUAGCUGUUUUGAAGAUAACUAUAUAAUAUCUUCUGAAUUGUGAAUACCCCAACUUGAUCUGUUUAGAGUAUGACUAAAAUGCCUAAUCCUUACCAGAUGCAAGUACACUCGGUUAAAGCAAGUUUUAGGUCAUCAGUCAACAAGAGCUGAAGGUUCUCAAAAUUAUGUUACAUCCUCUGAUGGCUGGAAAUGUGCGGAGGAGGAAGCCUUGAAAAGAACUCUAGCUGCACUCCACUUUAUUCAAAACUUUCUUUGUAUUUUUUUUUGUAAUAAAAUUUAAAAUUUAUCAGAGGAAAUUAAAAGAAUAAAGGAGCCAUUCCCAGACACGUCUCCUGUAGAGACCUGUUGUGCUGUUAUUUUUUAAUUCAAAAGGAACAACAACAAGGUGAGCAUCUGUUUUAUUCUGUAGAAGAACAACUUCUCAUUUUAGAUGUGUGCACAGAAGUGGCUGUAAUGUGACAUGAAAUCCAUAAGCAAAGGCUUAAAGUUCUAUCUGAAGCACUUUUUCAAUCAAGUUCAAGUGCCUUUUUGUUUCUGCAAUCACAGAUCUCUCUAAUGCUUCCUACUUGAAAAGCUUUUGGCGUGUAUUGCUUUGAGUAUUUUUAUUUAACUCUUCAUUAGGAAACUAAUUCCUUACUCAGGAAUCUAAUUUCAUGUGGUUUGUUUUCAAUUUAUUCCACACAAAUUAUGUUUUCUCUAUGUGAAAUCCAACUCCUAUCUUAAUCUGUAUGUUAGGGUACAAUGAAAUAAAAUGGAUGUGCUGUACUUUGCGUCCAGCAUUGUUUCU